rnacentral:rRNA from 1 species
UACGUAGGGGGGCAAGCGUUGUCCGGAAUCAUUGGGCGUAAAGAGCGUGUAGGCGGCCCGGUAAGUCCGCUGUGAAAGUCCAGGGCUCAACCCUGGGAUGCCGGUGGAUACUGUCGGGCUCGAGUCCGGAAGAGGCGAGUGGAAUUCCUGGUGUAGCGGUGAAAUGCGCAGAUAUCAGGAGGAACACCAAUGGCGAAGGCAGCUCGCUGGGACGUGACUGACGCUGAGACGCGAAAGCGUGGGGAGCAAACAGG